CAGUUCGGCCUUUCUCAGCUGUAAUUUUGGAAAAAACGUCGCAAAGCAGAAACUUUAUUUAGUCUGCGAAGGCAGGACCAAUUAACGUUAUUUUAAACCAAACAGUUAGGCUAUUAUUGUGCGCAAGUUUAACAAGUGAAAUGGGCAAAUGCAAGUGCAUGGUGUUGUUGUACUACGACUAGUAUUAGUACGUAAACCGUAAUAGACGUACUACUAUUGGCUAUGUGGCCAUCCCUUUCCCACUUGCAGAUGCAGCAGACAGGAUCAUUGAUUUUUAUGCUCCUGGCAGAGAGAGCGAAGAGCAUGCGCCGGGCGAUGGAAGUGGCGCGUGUCAAUGCACCGCAUUUCUACCGCUCUCUCUCAUCCCACAAACGGUUCCUUCCAGACGCCGCGAGAAAGAGAGAGGGAGCGCGAGAGCAGACAGCAGCUGCAGUUUUUGUGUAUGCACCUCAUUCCCACUCCGCCCUCACCUUCCCCUUCUCUCAUUUGCGCCUUACCUGCUUCUCAUUCGGCUGAAGAGAAGCAGCUCGAAAUAUCCUGAAGUCGGUUAUCACAAAAGGUAAUCCCAAGUUGAUUGUCUUCACAGACUAAAUAUCUAUAGAAAGUGUCAAUCUUAUCGUUCAUUUUAUGAUAAGCUUUGUAAGAUCUUUAGGAUUGAUAGCCCCUAUAAAAAGGUUAGUAAUGUAACCGACUCAAUACCAAUAACUAAAGAACAACAGAACUAAAGCA